rnacentral:rRNA from 1 species
CGCAAUUUCAACAAGGGCGCACGGUGGAUGCCUUGACACUAAAAGACGAAGAAGGACGUCGCAGGGUGCGAAAAGUCUCGGGGAGCUCCCAAGCAAGCUUUGAUCCGGGAAUAUCCGAAUGGGGAAACCCUCCCGACUAACAUCGGGAAUUGUACGCUGAAUACAUAGGUGUACAAAGAAGACCUGGGGAAGUGAAACAUCUCAGUACCCAGAGGAAAAUAAAUCGAAGAGAUUCCCUUAGUAGUGGCGAGCGAACAGGGAAAAGUCCAAACCGUACAAAUGUUACUGUGGAAAAUGAUUGGUCUUCGGAUUAACACAUGUCCACAAUUUAAAGGUACAGACCGUUGUUUGUACGGUGUAAUAAGAUAUCAGUGCUAGUUAUCUGUUUGACUAGGUGAAGCGUGAAUAUUUAGCAGAAUGCUCUGGAACGAGCAACUAAAAAAGGUGAUAGUCCUGUAAGCGAAAAAUAUUUCACAAUUUAUGGCUGGUGUUCUUGAGUAGGGCGGAACUCGUGAAAUUCCGUCUGAAUUCGGGCCGACUAUGGUCUAAGACUAAAUACUUUUAGUGAUCGAUAGUGGACUAGUACCACGAGGGAAAGGUGAAAAGCAGCCCGGAGAGGGCGAUGAAAUAGUAUCUGAAACCGUGUGCUUACAAAGAGCAGGAGCCCGCAAGGGUGACUGUGUUCCUAUUGAAGAAUGAGCCUGCGAGUGUGUGUGUGUCGCGUGUCUAAGGACUUAUGGUCCGGAGGCGUAGCGAAAGCGAGUCUGAAAGGGCGUUUGCGGCACGUACAUAACCCGAAACCGGGUGAGCUAUCCAUGGACAGGAUGAGCCCCACAGAAAUGUGGGGGGAGGUCCGAACACACGAGCCGUGCAACACUCGGUGAUGAUCUGUGGAUGGGAGAGAAAUUCUAAUCGAACUCGGUGAUAGCUGGUUCUCCUCGAAAUUGUUUUAGGUCUAGCCUCGAAAGUUUCUGCUGGUGGUAGAGCACUGGAUGAAAAUUGGGUCCUUCGGGAUACCGUUUUCAAUCAAACUCCGAAUGCCAGUAGCCAAAUUUCGGGAGUCAGACAGUGACGGCUAAGCGCCAUUGUCAAAAGGGAAAUAGCCCUGAUCGCAAUCUAAGGUCCCUAAAUUCAUGUUAAGUGUAAAAGGUGGUUUUAACUCUCAAACAACCAGGAGGUUGGCUUAGAAGCAGCCAUCCUUUAAAGAAAGCGUAACAGCUCACUGGUCGAGAGUUUUAGCGCCGAAAAUGUACCGGGGCUCAAACAUGAUACCGAAGCUGCGAACUUCAGUGCUUCGCACUAAAAAAUUAAAUAUAAAAUAUCAAAAAUCAAAAAUAUAGUAUCGCUACGCGAUAAUUUUAUAAAAAAUUAUGAGCGAAGCGAAUACAAAAUUUUUAAUAUUUGAUUUUUACUUUUUGAUUUUUGGGUGCGGAGCACCGAAGUGGUAGAGGAGCGUUCUGAACGCACUGAAGUCCUAGGCGUGAGCCGGGAUGGAGUGUUCAGAAGUGAGAAUGCAGGCAUAAGUAGCAAAAAGGGAAGUGGGAAUCUUCCCCGCCGAAAAUCCAAGGUUUCCUGGGCAACGAGAAUCGCCCCAGGGUUAGUCGAUCCUAAGGCCAGGCCGAAAGGCGUAACCGAUGGAAGAACAGGUUAAUAUUCCUGUACUGCCUAAUGUUUGGUUUUUACUGCACAUUUUUGAGCUUUAAGCGUGUUUCGAAUACAUGCGUCGCGCAAGCGAGAGGUGAAGCCUUCGGGCGGAGCCGAUUUAAGGUGAUGGGGUGUCUAGAAAAGGUAAAAAUCGUUAAGCAUUAGGUAUCCGUACCGUAAACCGACACAGGUGGAUAGGUCGAGAAGACUAAGGCGUACGAGAGAACCUUCGUUAAGGAACUCUGCAAUACAGCGGCCGUAACUUCGGGAUAAGGCCUGCCCUACGCAAGUAGGGUUUCAACAAAAGACGCACUGCGACUGUUUACCAAAAACACAGCUCCCUGCGAAAGCGCAAGCUGAAGUAUAGGGAGUGAUGCCUGGCCAGUGUCAGAACGUUAAAGGGAGAGGUGCAAGCCUUGAACUGAAGCGCUGAUGAACGCCGGCGGUAACUAUAACCGUCCUAAGGUAGUGGGUUCAAAUUUUGAACGCACUAGGAUUGGGACGGAUGUAGGAAAAGUAAACAAUCGUGACCACUGCAGAGGGUCAAAGAAAAACAGCCAUUCAAAAAGCUGCCUUACUUUAUAGUAAUAUAAAGAAUAAUCCAAUCAUAGCCAUAUGCUGGAAAGUCCGCCUAGGUGGACCAAUCAGCAGGGAAGACAUGUGAAAAUCAAAAAGUAAAAAUCAAAUAUCAAAUAUUUUGUAUUCGCUUCGCUCAUAAUUUUUUAUAAAAUUAUCGCGUAGCGAUACUAUAUUUUUUAUUUUUGAUAUUUUAUAUUUAAUUUUUUAUGAACCCCCAGAGACUAUACGCUAUGCCCCCGCGACCGCAAGGUUUUGCGGGGUGAAGAUAGAGUCCGUCGAUCAUAGGAUCGAAGAGCGAAAUUCCUUGUCGGGUGAGUUCCGACCUGCACGAAUGGCAUAACGAUAGUGCGACUGUCUCAACGAGGGACUCGGUGAAAUUGCAAGGAAGGUGAAGAUGCCUUCUACCCGCAACUAGACGAAAAGACCCCGUGAAGCUUUACUACAACUUAAUAUUGACAUAAGGAUAGAUAUGUUUAGCGUAGGUGGGACCCGCAAGGGGCCAAUGAAACACCACCCUUAUCUAUUUUUAUGCCUAAUCUUUUCCCCUGAAUCGGGGAAAGGAGACAGUGUUUGGUGGGUAGUUUAACUGGGGCGGUUGCCUCCCAAAAUGUAACGGAGGCGUUUACAAAGGUCAGCUUAGCUCGGAUGGAAAUCGAGCUGGACGUGCAUACGCAAAAGCUGGCUUUACUGCAAGGGCUACAACCCGCGCAGUCACGAAAGUGGAAGUAAGUGAACCGACCAUCUCAUAUAGGAGAGUGGAAGAUCAACGGAUAAAAGCUACUCCGGGGAUAACAGGCUGAUCUGGCCCGAUAGUCCACAUAGACGGCCAGGUUUGGCACCUUAACAUAUCGGGGUGCAUACAAAGUAAUUUGUUUCUUGGUUUUUUCGUUUAAUAAUAUAUAUAGAUAGGCAAAAUCCGCCUUCGCUCUUCGGAGCUAUGGCGGACGAAGAAGAGAUCAAAAUCGGCUUAUAACGGAGAACCCGUCAGGCCAUUCGCUUUGAAUGGUACCCGGCAACACCGUGGGAAGUCGUCCGCCUAAGGCGGAUUGACCCCGUAACGACUGACCCGAAAGGGGAGACUCCACUGCACUCGGCAGGGGGUAAUACGCCGACGCUUACUACGUCAAACCGAGAUCAUGCGAUCACGAUCCCAAUUUUUGGGAAUCCGCUAACAUCCGGUGUAAGAUGAAGAUAUAGUCUGCCCCAUACGAAAGUAUGGACCAUUGUACGAUGUCGGCUCAUCGCAUCCUGGGGCUGGAGAAGGUCCCAAGGGUUUGGCUGUUCGCCAAUUAAAGCGGUACGCGAGCUGGGUUCAGAACGUCGUGAGACAGUUCGGUCUCCUAUCUGUUGCGGGCGUUGAAUAUUGAGAAGGCUCACUCCUAGUACGAGAGGACCGGAGUGGAAGAAUCUCUAGUGUGCCAGUUGUCCCGUCAGGGGCAUCGCUGGGUAGCUAUAUUCUGUGCGGAUAAACGCUGAAAGCAUCUAAGCGUGAAGCCGUCUUCAAGAUUAAUAUUCGUUAAGACUCCUUGUAGACUACGAGGUUGAUAGGUCCUAUGUGUAAGCUGGGUAACCAGUUGAGCAGAGGGAUACUAAUAAGUCGAGCGCAUGACGAG